GUUGUAACUUAGUUCGAUUUAUAGUCGGGUGAAGAUUCUCGAUUUUGGUUGGAAUAACAACGCAUUAAGUGUUAGUCGUAUCAUUUAGAGUAAACCUGCUCGUAUAUAUAUAUAAGAGGAUGAAACCCGUGAACGUUUCGUCCGUUCGCUGAAACAUAUGACAAACCGAAACUAGGGCACAUAAGGCCAACCGAUUAACUGAUUAACGAAGACGCAAAAUUGAUCCAGAUCGAAGUCAUGAGUCAAGACGUACAAGAAUUCCAUGGUAUGAACUUUUUUAAAGACUGCUUGAGAGGGUAGCUCAGAUUACCUUCCAAACCAGAGGAAUAAAACAGUCGAAUUCAUGGAAUGAUUUACCACGAUGAUUAAAGGCAGAAAUCUGGUACGAGAGAUGAUAUAAAAACUGACGGUGGACUUUUGUUGAUGAGGAAAGGGUACCGGCGGUUUACACUCAACACAAACGCUGUGAUUUUGAAAAGGACAGUGAUUGUGUUACAUU